rnacentral:lncRNA from 1 species
CUCGAAUUGGGUCUCCCUACUAAUCUACACAAGUCUGGUGUCAUAAUUAACCAGGGGAAAGAAAGAGAAACUUCCCAGUAAAGAUGCUUGGCACUGUUGUGGGAAAUAUCACAGCGGAUCUGUCCUAUAGCACAAAGCCUGUGAUUCCACCAAGUGAGCACAGCCCGUCCCGGCCGCCUGACAGUGACGUGAGAGACGGGUUCCAGGUGCCAUGGCCACGGAUUGUUGAAGAGGCAACACGGGGGCUCCAGUAAGGUGUCAGACCUGGAUGUGGGUGGCCAAAACUCUGACACCGAGGGGAAGAAAGCCAUCUUACAAUUUUCAGAGACCAGAGCAGCGAGGAAAUGAGGAAUCCAGGCAGGCAAGAAAAUCCAAUCAUGUUUCUAGCAACUAUGAGAAGAUUAUAUCCAGAAGGAUGAUGAAGACAGAGGAAGACAAUCAGAUUGGAUGUCACCUCAGCAAGCAUCAAACCCCAUAAAAUCAGAAAGC